rnacentral:lncRNA from 1 species
UGAGUCAUGACACUUUAUGGAUAUCAGGUCAUGAUCCCUUAAGGAUAUGAGUCAUGACACUUUAUGGAUAAUGGGUCAUGAUAUCACGUAGAUGACAGGUUAUGAUACCUCAUGGGUAAAUGGUCACGAUACAAUGUAUAUUACAGGUCAUGAGAACUUGGGGAUAUUUUGUCAUGACACCUUGUGGAUAUUAAACUGGUCAUGACUCGUGGAUGAAAGAUCAUGAUACAAAUAUUAUACUGAGUUCAAAGUUUAUAUACAAUUUAAAGAUGUCUUGUUUUCUCCUGGAAUAUAAGAUAGUUUGCCUCUCCUACAUGAUUUGACAUGACCCCGCAAGUCCUAAAAUCAGUUUUUCUAGUGUGAAGUCUUGAGGACCAAUGUCUUGUAUUCAGCUGGAAAAUGUUUUUCUGACCAUCAAAUUCACAGUGUGUGUUUUAAGAUUUUUCAAAUUAAAAUUUGUUGGUACUACUUAAUUGAAAACCUAUAAUUUAGAAGUCAGCAAAGUGGCUUACCACAAUUUCCAAUCAUUUAAUUGUUAUUUUGUUUCCCUCUCUGAUGUACCGUAUCUUACCAUAGACAUUUACCGUAUACACAUGACAUUUCACCAUGAUCCUGAGAAAGUAUCAGGCCCAUAUUCCACUAAAUUAACCAUGUUCAUGAUAAACGCCUCAGGUAGAAACUCUACAAGGUGCUCAUUAAAACCAUGCAUGUUGAAUGUGAUGUCGGAGAUCAAAGGGAAGUGGACAAAGGGAGGUUACCCACAUGUUGACAACAUUAGACCUGCUCAUGCAAGAAAGAUGAAUGCCUGAAACAUCCUGCAUGUUCCAUACAAGUCAUUUCCAAUUUUCUACCUUAUCAUCUGGUAGCCAACAUGUUGGCUGAUGACUGACCUCCAUACAGUUUAAUCUAAAUCAAGGAGUGCAUGUGUUGAGCGGCUUGUAGACCUGUUGUAGGCUGAUAACCAUCUUUGCUACUGCUCCACAUCUGACAACAUAGACUGUGUGUUGCUGCUCAAAUCUAGUUUUCAAGUAUUUUCUAGUAGCCUAGUGGUUAAAGCGUUCACUCAUCACGCCGGAGACCAUUUCCCAUGUGGGUACUAUGUGUGAAGCCCAUCUAAAUUCACAACAUAAAAUCAAUCUUGAACUGGGGGGCUUAGAGGUCUCAGCUCUGCAAUUACUGUCCAGAUCUGGGCCUCGCGUCCAUGUCAUGAUCAAGAGUUUGAACUCAGCCUCAACUAUAGUCUGUUUGCAGUGAAAA